rnacentral:rRNA from 1 species
GACGAACGCUGGCGGCGUGCCUAAUACAUGCAAGUAGAACGCUGAAGUAGGAGCUUGCUUCUCUGGAUGAGUUGCGAACGGGUGAGUAACGCGUAGGUAACCUGCCUGGUAGCGGGGGAUAGCUAUUGGAAACGAUAGCUAAUACCGCAUAAUAGUAGAUGUUGCAUGACAUUUGCAUAAAAGGUGCAAUUGCAUCACUACCAGAUGGACCUGCGUUGUAUUAGCUAGUUAGUGGGGUAACGGGUCACCAAGGCGACGAGACAUAGGCGGCCUGAGCGGGUGAGCGGCCUCACUCGGACUGUGACACGGCCCAGACGACUACGGGAGGCCGCGGUAGGGCAGUGUCGGAAAUGGACCGAAGUCUGACCGAGCAACGCCGCGUGAGUGAAGAAGGGUUUCGGAUCGUAAAUCGCUGUUUGAAGAGAAGAACGAGUGUUAGAGUGUAAAGUUCACUCUGUGACGGUACCUUACCAGAAAGCGACGGCUAACUACGUG